AUUGAACGCUGGCGGCAGGCCUAACACAUGCAAGUCGAGCCAGCGGCGGACGGGUGAGUAAUGUAUGGGGACUGCCCGAUAGAGGGGGAUAACUACUGGAAACGGUGGCUAAUACCGCCUCCUGCCGGAUAACCCAUAUGGGAUUAGCUAGUAGGUAAGGUAAUGGCUGACCUAGGCGGCGAUCCCUAGCUGGUCUGAGAGGAUGAUCAGCCACAUUGGGACUGAGACACGGCCCAGACUCGUCUGGAGGGAGCAGUGGGGAGUAUUGCACAAUGGGCGCAAGCCUGAUGCAGCCAUGCCGCGUGUAUGAAGAGGGCCCUAGGGUUGUAAAGUACUUUCAGUCGGGAGGCGUUACCGACAGAAGAAGCAACGGCUAAAUCCGAGCCAGCAGCCGCGGUAAUUC
rnacentral:rRNA from 1 species